UACGUAGGGGCAAGCGUUGUCCGGAAUUAUUGGGCGUAAAGAGCGUGUAGGCGGAUAUUUAAGUCAGAUGUGAAACUGGCGGCUCAACCGUGAGACUGCAUCUGAUACUGGAUAUCUUGAGGGUAAGAGAGGGCAGUGGAAUUCCUAGUGUAGCGGUGAAAUGCGUAGAUAUUAGGAGGAACACCAGUGGCGAAGGCGACUGCCUGGCUUACAACUGACGCUGAGACGCGAAGCGUGGGGAGCAAACAGG
rnacentral:rRNA from 1 species